AAAUUGAAGAGUUUGAUCAUGGCUCAGAUUGAACGCUGGCGGCAGGCCUAACACAUGCAAGUCGAACGGUAACAGGAAGCAGCUUGCUGCUUYGCUGACGAGUGGCGGACGGGUGAGUAAUGUCUGGGAAACUGCCUGAUGGAGGGGGAUAACUACUGGAAACGGUGGCUAAUACCGCAUAACGUCGCAAGACCAAAGAGGGGGACCUUCGGGCCUCUUGCCAUCAGAUGUGCCCAGAUGGGAUUAGCUKGUUGGUGAGGUAACGGCUCACCAAGGCGACGAUCCCUAGCUGGUCUGAGAGGAUGACCAGCCACACUGGAACUGAGACACGGUCCAGACUCCUACGGGAGGCAGCAGUGGGGAAUAUUGCACAAUGGGCGCAAGCCUGAUGCAGCCAUGCCGCGUGUAUGAAGAAGGCCUUCGGGUUGUAAAGUACUUUCAGCGGGGAGGAAGGUGUUGUGGUUAAUAACCACAGCAAUUGACGUUACCCGCAGAAGAA
rnacentral:rRNA from 1 species